AUGCUCCCUUUGGCAGCACAUAUACUAAAAUUGAAAUGAUACAGAGAAGAUUGGCAUGGCUCUGAGCAUGGAUGACAUGUACAUUUGUGAAGUCAUCGUAUU